rnacentral:rRNA from 1 species
UACGGAGGGAGCUAGCGUUGUUCGGAAUUACUGGGCGUAAAGCGCACGUAGGCGGCUUUGUAAGUUAGAGGUGAAAGCCCGGGGCUCAACUCCGGAAUUGCCUUUAAGACUGCAUCGCUAGAAUUGUGGAGAGGUAAGUGGAAUUCCGAGUGUAGAGGUGAAAUUCGUAGAUAUUGGGAAGAACACCGGUGGCGAAGGCGGCGACCUGGUCCUUUACUGAGCUGAGGCGCGAAAGACG